AGCGAACGCUGGCGGCAGGCUUAACACAUGCAAGUCGAGCGCCCCGCAAGGGGAGCGGCAGAAGGGAGAGUAACACGUGGGAACAUACCUUUUGGUUCGGAACAACUGAGGGAAACUUCAGCUAAUACCGGAUAAGCCCUUACGUGGAAAGAUUUAUCGCCGAAAGAUUGGCCCGCGUCUGAUUAGCUAGUUGGUGAGGUAACGGCUCACCAAGGCAACGAUCAGUAGCUGGUCUGAGAGGAUGAUCAGCCUCACUGGGACUGAGACACGGCCCAGACUCCUACGGGAGGCAGCAGUGGGGAAUAUUGGACAAUGGGGGCAACCCUGAUCCAGCCAUGCCGCGUGAGUGAUGAAGGCCUUAGGGUUGUAAAGCUCUUUUGCCCGGGAAGAUAAUGACGGUACCGGGAGAAUAAGCCCCGGCUAACUUCGUG
rnacentral:rRNA from 1 species